AAUACUGUCUUGUAAUUGGAAUGAGUAGAUUUUAAAUCCCUUUACAAGUAUCAAUUGGAGGGCAAGUCUGGUGCCAGCAGCCGCGGUAAUUCCAGCUCCAAUAGCGUAUAUUAAAGUUGUUGCGGUUAAAAAGCUCGUAGUUGGAUUUCUGCUGAGGACGACCGAUCCGCCCUUUAGGGUGUGCAUCUGGUUUGACCGAGGCAUCCUCCUAGAAAACGUUGCUGCACUUUACUGUGUGGCACGGUGUCUGGGAAUUUUACUUUGAGGAAAUUAGAGUGUUUCAAGCAGGCGAUUGCUGUGAAUACAUUAGCAUGGAAUAAUAAGAUAGGACUUCGGUUCUAUUUUGUUGGUUUCUGGAACUGAAGUAAUGAUUAAUAGGGACAGUCGGGGGCAUUCGUACUUA
rnacentral:rRNA from 1 species